rnacentral:rRNA from 1 species
UACCAGCACCCCGAGUGGUCGGGACGUUUAUUGGGCCUAAAGCAUCCGUAGCCGGUUCUACAAGUCUUCCGUUAAAUCCACCUGCUUAACAGAUGGGCUGCGGAAGAUACUAUAGAGCUAGGAGGCGGGAGAGGCAAGCGGUACUCGAUGGGUAGGGGUAAAAUCCGUUGAUCCAUUGAAGACCACCAGUGGCGAAGGCGGCUCACUGGCCCGGUACUGACGCUGAGGUGCGAAAGCGUGGGGAGCAAACAGG